GAUGAACGCUGGCGGCGUGCCUAACACAUGCAAGUCGAGCGGGAUCUUGCUAAAUGACGCUUCGGUUGAUUUUAGUAAGUGAGAGCGGCGGACGGGUGAGUAACGCGUAGGCAACCUGCCCUUUGCAGAGGGAUAGCCAUUGGAAACGAUGAUUAAAACCUCAUAAUGCCAGACUGAGACAUCUCUAACUGGCCAAAGAUUUAUCGGCAAAGGAUGAGCUCGCGUCUGAUUAGCUAGUUGGUGAGGUAAUGGCUCACCAAGGCUUCGAUCAGUAGCCGGACUGAGAGGUUGAACGGCCACGUUGGGACUGAGAUACGGCCCAGACUCCUACGGGAGGCAGCAGUGGGGAAUAUUGGGCAAUGGGGGAAACCCGUGACCCAGCAACGCCGCGUGAAGGAAGAAGGCUUUCGGGUUGUAAACUUCUUUGACCAGGGACGAAAAAAAUAGACGGUACCUGGAAAACAAGCCACGGCUAACUACGUG
rnacentral:rRNA from 1 species